rnacentral:rRNA from 1 species
UGGGGAAUAUUGCACAAUGGGGGAAACCCUGAUGCAGCAACGCCGCGUGAAGGAAGACGGUUUUCGGAUUGUAAACUUCUGUUCUUAGUGAAGAAAAAUGACGGUAGCUAAGGAGCAAGCCACGGCUAACUACGUGCCAGCAGCCGCGGUAAUACGUAGGUGGCAAGCGUUGUCCGGAAUUACUGGGUGUAAAGGGAGCGCAGGCGGGGAAUCAAGUCAGCUGUGAAAACUACGGGCUUAACUUGUAGACUGCAGUUGAAACUGGUUUUCUUGAGUGAAGUAGAGGUUGGCGGAAUUCCGAGUGUAGCGGUGAAAUGCGUAGAUAUUCGGAGGAACACCGGUGGCGAAGGCGGCCAACUGGGCUUUAACUGACGCUGAGGCUCGAAAGUGUGGGGAGCAAACAGG